rnacentral:rRNA from 1 species
AUACCCUAUUAUUUUUAUUGUAAAAUUAUUUAAGCUGUAGUAUUAAUAGUUAUGAUCUUAAAACUUAAAGAAUUUGGCGGUAUUAUAGUCUAUUUAGAGGAAUCUGUUAUAUAAUCGAUAGUCCACGUUGAACCUUACUUAUAUUAAUUUUUGUAUAUCUCUGUUUAAGUAAAUAUUUUUAGAUGAAUUUUCUGAAUAUAAUAUUAUUUAAUAUUUCAAGUCAAGGUGCAGAAAUAUAUAAGUUGAGUAAUGGAUUACAAUAAAUUUUAUUUAUAACGAAUUGUUAUUGUAACAUAAUUUGAAGGGGGAUUUAAUUGUAAUUUUAUAAAGAUUAUUAAAAUGAUUAAUAGCUCUAUAAUAUGUACACAUCGCCC